rnacentral:sRNA from 1 species
CAACGAGCAAACAAAAACAAAACAUUUACAACUACAAGCACUGAAAAUCAAUUAUAAAUUAUAAUUCUCUUAAUUCACGUCAAUUCAUUCGACCGAUACAGUUUGAUUGCGUGCUGCAAGAGUGAUGUUUUGGUUAUGUUAUCAAUAAGUGAAAGAAUGACAACACCACCAGCAAGAAAACCGCAGACAGAGAGAGAGAGAGAGUGAUGGAGCGAGAGGGGAGCUGACAAUUGCGUCAUUGCACCGAAAAUUAAUGUAUCCCAUGGCCCGGUUAAACGAACUCGUUGUGAGUAAGACGUAAGGGGAUUUGAUAAGCCGCAUUUUAAGCUGAUUUUACAUAAUUUCGAGAGAAACUUUCCCACACAAAUUUUUCGUUCGUUACGAUGUUUAAAUGCUCCAAGAAGAAUGAUAGUCAAUUCUCAGAAACAAUGUGUGACAUAAAUAAAUACAUACAUAUAUAAA